AGCCGUGUACUGUGCACAUUGCAAACUAUUCUUUCGCUUUUUACUAAAGAAUACCGUGUGCACUCUACAGCAAGUGGCAUACACUUAUUUUUGAAUGGUCUUCCCUUUUUAGGGUGAC